UUUCUUCGGAGAUGAGUAAAGCGGCGGACGGGUGAGUAACGCGUGAGAAUCUCCCCUUCAGUGAAGGAUACCCUUGAGAAAUUAAGGUUAAUACUGCAUACGUCUGCUAUUAAGUUAGUAGAGAAAGAUGGCCUCUUGCUGUCGCUGAAAGAUGAGCUUGCGUUCUAUUAGCUAGUUGGUGAGGUAAAGGCUCACCAAGGCGAUGAUGGAUAGCCGGCCUGAGAGGGUGAACGGCCACAUUGGAACUGAGAAACGGUCCAGACUCC
rnacentral:rRNA from 1 species